rnacentral:rRNA from 1 species
GAUGAACGCUAGCGGCAGGCCUAACACAUGCAAGUCGAGGGGGAAGUUACUUUCGGGUGACUGAGACCGGCGUACGGGUGCGUAACGCGUAUACAAUCUGCCUUUCCCUGGGGGAUAGCCCGAAGAACUUUGGAUUAAUACCCCAUAGUAUAUAGGGACGGCAUCGUUUUUAUAUUAAAGCUUAGGUGGUGAAAGAUGAGUAUGCGUUCUAUUAGCUAGUUGGAGAGGUAACGGCUCCCCAAGGCGAUGAUAGAUAGGGGUUCUGAGAGGGAUGUCCCCCACACUGGUACUGAGGUACGGACCAGAAUCCUACGGGAGGCAGCAGUGAGGAAUAUUGGACAAUGGUCGGAAGACUGAUCCAGCCAUGCCGCGUGCAGGAUGAAGGUCUUAUGGAUUGUAAACUGCUUUUGUAAGGGAAGAAUAAGGGCUACGCGUAGUUUGAUGACGGUACCUAACGAAUAAGCAUCGGCUAACUCCGUG